GAAAUAAGACCUAUUCAUCAUUGUAGAAAAUGUGUCCUUCAUGGAUUGAUUAAAAAGCAAAAAAGAAGGAAGAAUUUGCUCCACAUUGACUAUACCUAUAAUUGAACUGGGGGUUCAAACAAGAGCUGCAAAAAAAGCCAGUUAAGCCCAAAACAGAUUUGUAGACACAUCACUUUUACCUGUUUUAGUAAUAUCAUUUGUUUUGCCUAGGGGAACUUCCUCAUCUUUUCUAUUUGGCAGAAUCAAGCACAUUUCCACAAAUACAUCAUUUUUGAGAAGCUGUUCCAUAUUCCUUCCAGAAAAAUUAUCCCUCUUUGCUACAUUAUGGAUUUUAUUACUAAUUCUCAUAUCAUAGUGUCAUAAUUAGUCUUCGAUAUUUAUUUUCCCUUGCAAUAUAGAAGAUCUUUGAUGAGAAUAUUUUUUUCAUUUUUAUCUUUGCUACUCAACUCAGUGCUCACUAAAUAUUUGUUGAAUUAUAUUGAUUUAAUUUUUGUUGGAUAGUGGGAUAGAUAAAUAUAUGAAAUUCAUCAUGUGUCUUAAAGAAAUUGCUGGAAUAAGAAGAGGCGAGAGCGACCCCCGGACCGACCAAAGCCCACGCGCCGCUGCAUCCCGCGCUCAGCGCCUACGUCCCACCGCCGUCGCCACCAUGCCUAUGAGAAAGGCUGAAGGGGAUGCUAAAGGAGAUAAAGCCAAGGUGAAGGAUGAACCACAGAGAAGAUCUGCGAGGUUGUCUGCUAAACCUGCUCCUCCAGAGCCAGAGCCCAAGCCUAAAAAGGCCCCUGCAAAGAAGGGAGAGAAGGUACCCAAAAGGAAAAAGGGAAAAGCUGAUGCUGGCAGAAAGGGAAUAACCCUGCAGAAAAUGGAGAUGCCAAAACAGACCAGGCACAGAAAGCUGAAGGUGCUGGAGAUGCCAAGUGAAGUGUGUGCAUUUUUGAUAACUGUGUACUUCUGGUGACUGUACAGUUUGAAAUACUUUUUUUUAUCAAGUUUUAUAAAAAUGCAGAAUUUUGUUUUACUUUUUUUUUUUUUUUUAAGCUAUGUUGUUAGCACACAGAACACUUCAUUGUUGUUUUGGGGGAAGAGGCAUAUGUCACUAAUAGACUGUCUCCAAAGCUGGAUUGAUGUGGGGAAACGCCUUUCCCUUCUAGUUUUGAGAGACUUCCUCUUGGCUCCCAGGAGGAGGGAUUCCCUGACUUUGACACACAUGGCCACCUUGGCACACAAAAGCCUUGCGGUAUGGAAAGACAAAUUCAUUUUUAUGUCCUCUUCCCCCUUUCCAUCUUUCAGCAUAGAUUUAACUCCCUUAAGCCCAGACAUCUGUUGGGACCUGACCCCCAGUCAUUGAUUACCAGUGUGUCAGGCAAUCUGGGCUUGCCAGUGAUGCCACUGAGAUGGCACCUGUCAAAAGAGCAGUGAUUCCAUUUCUAGAUUGUGGAUCUUCAGAUAAAUUCUGCUAUUUUCAUUUCACUUCCUGAAAGUCAGGGUCGGCUCGUGAAAAGUUGUUAAACAACAUGCUAAAUGUGAAAUGUCAACCCUCAAUCUAAACUUUCCCUGUUCAGAGCAUCAGAUGAAGAGUUCAUUGGGUUUUAUAGUGGCUUUCUGAUUUUUGGUAGUCCGUCAAAGAAGGGAGUUUGAAAGUUGUUGUAUACUGUUAAUGAUUGUCUGCCCAUGUCCUGCCUGAAAUACCAUGAUUGUUUAUGGAAAGUGUCUUUAAUAAAGCUGGAUACAAUUUGAAAAAAAAAAA